GUGUCCCUGCAUGCAGAGUGUCAGCCAUCUGAAACAAUGAGGUUCUGGUCAGCUGAAGAAAAUUAUAAAGUACUUUUGAUUUCUAAGGAUCUAGAACCAGAGAUUCCCUCUAAGGCACUUCAUGAGUUGGGGGCUGAAGACUAUCAGAAGAAGAGGUUCCUUAGUGUGCAGAAUUGAAAGCACCCUAAGAUGCAGGGAAGAGAGGUUCUGGAGGAGCCCUCCAACUGCAGCCAUGGUUAUAAGCUGGAUACUUCAUUAGCUCCAUCAUUCUUUCAUGAGCUCAUUGAAUGUUAUGAGGGUUUGCAAAGCAUGCCAGGCCCUGGGCUCCAUUGCCAGCACUAACAAAUAAGCCAAACAGAGAGUAUGCAGCAAGAGGUAGAGAAGUCCAUCUGGAAGAGGAAUGGAGGAGCCAAGGGCUACAUGGAGAGGUGGGAUCUCACGUGGCUGGGUAGAUGGGACACAGUGUAAACAGUGACACUCAAGAAGCUAAUGUUGGAAAAUUAA